GAUGAACGCUGGCGGCGUGCCUAAUACAUGCAAGUCGAGCGAACGGACGAGAAGCUUGCUUUUCUGAUGUUAGCGGCGGACGGGUGAGUAACACGUGGAUAACCUACCUAUAAGACUGGGAUAACUUCGGGAAACCGGAGCUAAUACCGGAUAAUAUUUUGAACCGCAUGGUUCAAAAGUGAAAGACGGUCUUGCUGUCACUUAUAGAUGGAUCCGCGCUGCAUUAGCUAGUUGGUAAGGUAACGGCUUACCAAGGCAACGAUGCAUAGCCGACCUGAGAGGGUGAUCGGCCACACUGGAACUGAGACACGGUCCAGACUCCUACGGGAGGCAGCAGUAGGGAAUCUUCCGCAAUGGGCGAAAGCCUGACGGAGCAACGCCGCGUGAGUGAUGAAGGUCUUCGGAUCGUAAAACUCUGUUAUUAGGGAAGAACACAUGUGUAAGUAACUGUGCACAUCUUGACGGUACCUAAUCAGAAAGCCACGGCUAACUACGUG
rnacentral:rRNA from 1 species